UGCCAGACUCCUACGGGAGGCAGCAGUGGGGAAUAUUGCACAAUGGGGAAACCCUGAUGCAGCGACGCCGCGUGAGCGAUGAAGUAUUUCGGUAUGUAAAGCUCUAUCAGCAGGGAAGAAAAUGACGGUACCUGACUAAGAAGCCCCGGCUAACUACGUGCCAGCAGCCGCGGUAAUACGUAGGGGGCAAGCGUUAUCCGGAUUUACUGGGUGUAAAGGGAGCGUAGACGGCUUGGCAAGCCAGAUGUGAAAGGCGGGGGCUCAACCCCAGGACUGCAUUUGGAACUGUCAUGCUAGAGUGUCGGAGAGGCAGGCGGAAUUCCUAGUGUAGCGGUGAAAUGCGUAGAUAUUAGGAGGAACACCAGUGGCGAAGGCGGCCUGCUGGACUGCGACUGACGUUGAGGCCCGAAAGCGUGGGGAGCAAACAGGAUUAGAUACCCCCGUAACA
rnacentral:rRNA from 1 species